AUGCAGAUGCAUGUGUGCACACAGACAUAUGCACAGACACACACCUCAACUUUCUAGCUUUUAGCAUUACGUUUGGCUUAUGCUUUUGACCCUUCUUUUCCUUUGUCUUUGUCCUUUAUUUCAAUAACAAGGUAUUAAAAUUCAAGGAGAAAUACCUGAAACACUGUUAUUUCUAGGGUGUAUUAGUAGCUCUUGUCUUAUCAUGGUCUAAGGAUUUUCAACUUAUGUUCAGAAUGAUAUUCACAAAGUUUUCACUUAUAGUUUGGUGUUUAUAAAGUCACAGGAGGUAAUUAAUUGUGACUUAUUUGCAAUUGGUGAUUUUGGUGAUGUGUGGACAAGUAGAAAUAUUAUAAAUAUAUUUAAGGUACAUUAUGAUAAAUAUGAUGCUUGGUAGGUUACAUAUAUUAAGUACAUUUUUGACUUAUGCUUGAUACAUAAUGGAUUUAGUGCAUGCAUGUGCAUAUAUGGUUUCUGCCUCUUUAUCUCUUGAUUGGUUUUGUCGAUCAUCUGUAGCUAGCAUCUCAACGGCAUGUGUCUUUUUAAAGACCUCUCCACACUAUCCAUUCUGUUCUGAAGACAUUAGCUUCUCUCAAGAUGACAAGAGCAUAUAUUCAUAAGCAUAUACUUCUAGUCAAGUGUUUACUAUUUCUUAAGUAUCUUUGCUUUCCAUACAGGAGUUUUGUUUUAGUUGUAAGAACGUCUGGUGGUAUCUGUCUUUCUAAUUGCUUAAAGGAAAACGUGUUUGCAUCUCGUCACAGUUAAGGCUGCAAUCUAUCAUAGCAGUGAAGUCAUGGAAACAGGAGCUUGAAGCAGCUGGUAAGAUCGUGAAACUAUUUCCAGGAGAGAUCAAUGAAUUCAUGCAAGCAUGAAUUCAUUGUCUUUUGCUAUAGUGGGUUAUAAUCUGAAAUUCUGAAACAAAUACUCUUUUCCAUUAAGUUCCUUUUGUGGGCAUAUUUGGUUGUAGCAACAGAAAGGAAACUAAGACAGAAAUUGUCACCCAGAAUUAGGGCUGUUGCUGUCAUAAAUCUGAUCACGUGACUUUUUGAAUGGUUUCUCAGGAGCAACAUAGAAGAAUUUAGAAUUUUGUGAUAGAAAUGCCAUUGAAUUCUGAAAGUAGACCUUAAUUGGUCUCUUUAAUAGAAGCUUGGAAGACAGCAAUACUGAGAGAAAAAUGGACACUGGAGGCUCAUAUCAUGAGGUUUCAAAGAGGAACAUGGACUCUGUCAGGUUUUUGAAAUUUGAGAAUUUUCGUCAUGAAUCUGGUUUCAUGUUUUUGCCUCCAUUCAGAGAAUAUGUGUAAAAUUAAAUAAGAUAAGAUAAUGUACUAAUGUAUUUGACACAGGAAAACCAUGGACAAGCUUAAAGUUUCAGAAAGGGAAGGUGAAAACAAUAAACCACAUGCAGUUGUCAAAGAUUUAUCUCCUAUGGUGUCCGUGAUCACUCGAGUUCCCAUGAAUCCAUAUCAGUUGAUUCUGUGGGGGAUAUUUUCUUGGUGUGUCCUCAACCCCUAUGGUUCCUCCAAUCCUCCUUCCCAGUCCUAGCAGAAAUCCCCAAGCUCUAGCUAAUGUUUGACUCUGGUACUCUGCAUCUGCUCCCAUUAAUUGCUGCUGGAUUAAGUCUCUCAGGUCUCUGAUGAUGAUUGUGCUGGGAUCUACAUGCAUGUUAUUACUGAGCAGCAUGGUGUUCCUGUGGAAACCUUAACAGUGAAAGCAUAACCUGUACCUGACUCUUGCCUACUUGCAGGUCCCUUCUCCUUCUACUGUGUUGCCUUGUCCAACUUUGAUGUCCAACCAGUGUGACUGUCUGCAUUAACUUCAAUCCCCAACAUGAAGAAACAUCUCUGAUGAAGUCUGACUUACUUCAUUAAUCUGUGAGUGUAGGGCUGCAAAUCGAGAGGUGAGUUUGACUGUGUGUCUGUCCAUUUAGCAAAAUAACAGUAGUAGGUUCCCCUCCCUAAAAUGAGUCCUUGGCUAGAAUUCCACUAUAAAGCACACAUUUAAUCCCACAGAGCAGACCUUAUAUCUAAUCAGAAAGUUUUUGGUUACUUCCAUGACUUGCAUGUGACUACUCCGGUCACGAGCGUGUGAGGCAUACUGGGUAUUAUUGCUUUUUACAAAUUCACAGCUGAAUAAAAUAGUCACUUUUUUUCCUCAUUAGCCUACAGGGCAUCUUCCAGUAAUAUAAAACCUGAAACAGGAAAAGAACAAACUCUUUGGUCAGCACAAGCUUUUCCAAACACUAGGACAAGUCUGUCGUUUCUUAAGCAACAACAUCUUACCAUUUGAGAGUUGACAAUUGUUUGGAUUCCUUUGGAAGUCUCUAGGAAAUGCUUGAACAAUUAAUUAUUCCUGCUCAUUAUUCUCCUUUAUGCUUCAUAUCACCUCCGUGAACAAUACUUUUAGAACAUCCUUACCAUCCCUCAAAUUUUCCAAUGAUAUUUUUAUAUAUCACAAAUAUAAAACUAAGGAUAUAAUGGUAAGAUCCAUACAUGAGUGCAAAAAAACAACAUGUGUUUCUUGGUGUGAGUUACAUCGCUUGGUGUAAUGCUUUUCAUUUCUACCAACUUUUCUGCAUUGUUUAUAGAUAAAUAAAUUUUCACAUAAUGGUAAACCCAAAAAAUUAUGGUUUGACCCAGUCAUUCAUUGAUGGGCAUCUAUAUCCCUUUCAAGUUGUAGAUAUUAUGUAUAUAUCAGAAGUAAACAUGAAAGAAGUGUUUUCUUGGUAGAAAAUAGUCUUCUGGAUAUAUGUCCAGCAGUAGUAUAGUUGGGCUGUGGAAAAGUUCUAUUUUCUCAUUUUGUGAGGAUCACCCAUGAUUUCCAUAGUCUUUGCACCCAUCUAUAUUUCCACUAGAAGUGCAUUGUUCCUACACCAACGAUAGCCAGCAUUUAUUGUCUAUUGGCUUCUUAAUCUUAGCCAUACAUAGUAAAGAAAGAUAAAACAUUGAGGUGGUUUUAAUUUUCAUUUUCCUACUGUAUAGAGAUUAGGAAAAGGUUUUAAAAUGUUUCACAGCCAUUUUUAUUCUAAGAACUCUAUAUUCAGUUCCAUAGCUUACUUUUCCAUUUGAUAAGUAUAUGAGCACAUGCAGGUCUUGUGUUUUUUUGUUAGAUUCCCCCCCCCAAAUUAGAGGGGUUUAAUUUCUCUCAUAGUUCCUCUAAUACUAUCUCUCCUCAAUUUCAUUUUUUUUGUCUCUGUUCAAAGACACUGAGGCAACCAAGUGAUUCCAGUAUGUGUGUGGCUAUCUGCUUGAGCAUGAGUAACAUCUCAGGGGCUACGUCUUUGAGAAGAACUUUAUUCUUCCUCUCACAGAAGUCCUCAAUUUGCAAGAGCUUCUCAAAUAGUUAUAGGAUUCAGUAGCCAUCAAAUUUAGCAGUUCUCAAACAUGUUGUUUGUGACCCUCUUAGGGAUAGGACAUGCUGCAUAUCAGAUUUUUAUAUUACGAUUCUUAAUGACAGUCAAAUUAGAGUUGUAAAUCUGCCAGAACACGAAGAACUAGAGUGAAGAAUUAGGUUGAGAAUCACUGAUGUAAGUCUACAGCACUGGAAUUUAACUUGGCUUCAUCUUGUGUGGGUUUUGCACACAGUCACUAUUGCUGUGAUUUUAUAACUGCCUGCUUUCGUGUGCCUUGAAAACACUGUUUCUCUGUAGUGUUAUCCUACCUUUAGCUCUCAUUAUCUCUCUAACAUCCAGAUGUUGAUUGCUGUGCAAUUGAUUUCUCUGCAUGCUGAGGCAUAAAGUACCAAGUUUAAUUAUUUCUACUUGUAGAUAGCUAGUUUCCAUAAUGGCAUUUAUUAAAUAUUAAAUAGACUGUCUUGUCUACAAUGUAUGCUUUUUGGCCUCUUUUUCCAAAAUCAAAUCCUGUAAAGGAUUACCUUAAUUGCAUUCGUUGGUAAAGAAGCAAAUGCCUAGUGUGUUGGGCAACACUCUGCAUUGUAGAGCCCUGCACCAGACCAGAAGGAGAAAGCAUUGCCAUGAGCGCAGUAAUGCAGCAAGCCAGUGACGAAACAAUGCAGUAAUAAUAUAGCAGGGGAUGCAGUAAUUUCCUGUGUUGUAUGCAGAUGUUGUGUGACUACUUCUCCUGAGUUAGUGUUGCUAUCAAUUCAAUUCUCUGCCAUGAAAGACACAUGAACUCCUGUCUCUUGAGUUAUUUUGCCACGGUAUUUUACAUAGUAACAGAAAAGAAAUGGUAACAUGUGGGAGUCACACGUUACUGUGAAGAUUUGGCCAAGUUCAUGAACCAUACCACACACAACCAGACCCACAAAUGACACAGAAAUGGCAUCAUGAAACCCUGGUCACAAAGAUACAAAUCUCUUAAGGGGGUUGACACCGAGUUUCUGAGGAACAUCAGCUUUGCCAAGAAACACAACAAGAGAGGCCUGAAGAAGAUGCAGGCCAACAAUGCUAAGGCAAUGAGUGCACGAGCAGAGGUCAUCAAGGCCCUUGUGAAGCCUCAGGCCAUCAAACACAGGAUGAGAGAGGGCCCCAGCUGCAAAUUCAUACAUCUGGCUUUUAUCGCUCACCCCAAGCUUGGGAAGAGGAUUGGACGCUUCAUGGCCAACGGUCAUAGGCUCUGCCAACAAAAGCCCAAGGUUUAAACCAAGGCAGAGGCCAAAGCUCCAGCUGAGGCCCAGGGUUCAGUUCCAGCUCAGUCUCCCAAAGGUGGCCAGGCCCCUAUGAAAGCCCCAUAGAAAAGGUUCCUGCCACUGUGAAGACAAAUGGACUGCUGUGACACACCUAUAUACACAGUAUUUGAAGAUGACCAGUGUCAUAGGCUGUUUUUACAAAUAAACUUGAGACAACAUCUACUUUAAAAAAAGAAAUGAUAACAUGAUUCUUCUUUUAUAAUUUAAGGAAAAAACCAUCACUAUUUUUGUCUCACUGUAACAGUCAACUUUGACAAAAAUGUUAACUUUAGUGUUUGUUAGCAUAAAAGUUAUUAGCUAACAGCUCCUAAUUAUAUUUCAGAGUGAGGCUAAGUCCAAAAGUUAGUCCUUGUAUUCAUUUUCAUGAUAACAAAGUAAUUUUAUUACUUGGACUCUUCAUAUUCAAUUCCUUGAAAUUGCUUCCAAAUGCUAUGUAAUGGUUUCAUUUUAUCUAAAAGUUUGUAUAACAAGUUGGAAAGAUACAGAUUGAAGAAGUUCAAUGUUUGUAAAGAUUUAUUAUAAAAUGGAUACAUAACUUUGAAUUAAAAUGUCUUUAAUAAAAUUAAAAUUUUUCUGAAUGGUGGUCUGCAACUUAGCAAUCAGGAGAAGUACAAUAGUGUUUGUUCUUAUUCUAUGUCAAGAAAUUUGUUCUCUGGAUUUUCAUAGGAAAUUGAAGCUUUGAAAGGUUGACUCUGUUCUUGAAGUUUAUCUGGAACUCAUCUGUGAGCUUCAUGGUGUACACAGAUAAGAAACUGACAAUACAUUUCAACAGGCUUAAUUUUAAAUUGAGGACUUUAAAAGAAAGAGUAUAAUUAAACUAUUUAAUUCCACUUAUUUCAGAGAAAAUUCAAGUUAUAUUCUUCUCCUGAAAGGGUUUCAUUUAGCACAGGAGAGAAGUAUAUAUAUAUAUUAUAUGUCUUCUGAUGCCAAGCUGGUUCAGUGCUUCAUGUGUGCAAACCAUCAUCUGAGUUACAGACUCUGUGGACGUCUUUGUUAUUAGAAUAGAGCACUUAGACAUUGAAGUCUAUUUUAGCCAUCGAGGUGUCUCCCAAGCUUCUUCCCCUUCAUCUUGUUGUCACUUUAAUCCCAUGAAUGGGUAUGGAACACAAAGCAGAUCUAUCUACUGUCCCAUUUAAAAUAUCUGUAUGGUUAGGUUCUCAUAUAAACUCACUCCAAGUUGCUUAAUCUUCAAAUGUCUGAACAUAUACGUUCAAAUGCACAUGCAUUUACCUAAAUAAGUAUGUGUAGAUUUAUUUUUUAAAAAAAAUAAAGCCUUGUCUAAUAAGGAAAUAUAGAACUGUAACUCCUAAUACACACUCACUGUAUUAUUUUAAUGCCAUGCAAAUGAAAGAAUCCUGAAAACUAAUUUUAAAGAGCUAUUUACUUAUUGUUUUUAUGUAGCUGUG
rnacentral:sRNA from 1 species